rnacentral:lncRNA from 1 species
AGAAGCCCUCGGGCCCUUGGGGAGGGACGGGCACUGUUCCCCAGAGCAGUGCAAUCAAUGCUGGGAAACUGAAGCUGCGAGUGUCCGAGGGACCCUGGGAUGUCUCUGGGGUCUGCGUAGGUACCCAUGGAGGAGCAGAGAUGGUGGAUGAAGGAGGCCGUGGAGGAGAAAAGAACACAGGAAUUUACCAGAAAUUGGCAGGCUGUGGAAUUGAUGGAGUCCACUUACUGUCCAGGCCUAAGGGGUCCAAUAAUCCCAUCCUUUGCCGAAAGCUUUACUGUGGGACUGGCAUCAUUUCAAGCAUUUAAUCCUCGUCCCAACUCUACGAGGAAGGGUCUCGCUUUGUCACCCAGGCUGGAGUGCAAUGGUGCAAUCACAGCAUACUGCAGCCUCAACCUCCCAGGCUCAAGCAAUCCUCCCACCUCAGCUUCGGUCUCCCUCUCAUGCUGAGCCAAACCUGGACUGUGCUGCUGCCAUCUCGGCUCACUGCAACCUCCCUGCCUGAUUCUCCUGCCUCAGCCUGCCGAGUGCCUGCGACUGCAGGCGCGCGCCACCACACCUGACUGGUUUUCGUGUUUUUUUGGUGGAGACGGGGUUUCGCUGUGUUGGCCGGGCUGGUCUCCAGCUCCUAACCGCGAGUGAUCCACCAGCCUCGGCCUCCCGAGGUGCCGGGAUUGCAGACGGAGUCUCGUUAACUCAGUGCUCAAUGGUGCCCAGGCUGGAGUGCAGUGGCGUGAUCUCGGCUCGCUACAAUCUCCACCUCCCAGCCGCCUGCCUUGGCCCCCCAAAGUGCGGAGAGUGCAGCCUCUGCCCGGCCGCCACCCCGUCUGGGAAGUGAGGAGCGUCUCUGCCUGGCCGCCCAUCGUCUGGGAUGUGAGGAGCCCCUCUGCCUGGCUGCCCAGUCUGGAAAGUGAGGAGCGUCUCUGCCCGGCCGCCAUCCCACCUGGGAAGUGAGGAGUGCCUCUUCCCAGCCGCCAUCCCAUCUAGGAAGUGAGGAGCAUCUCUGCCCGGCCGCCCAUCGUCUGAGAUGUGGGGAGCGCCUCUGCCCCGCCACCCCGUCUGGGAUGUGAGGAGCGCCUGGGCCCGGCCGCGACCCCGUCUGGGAGAAAAGCACAGAUGUGGUCCUGGCU